UAUGCAAGUGAUGAGAAACAUAGACAGGGACAUCUGCACUCUUCAAGAGGUUGAUGAUUAGUUCUAUGGUAAAUGGGAAUCUCUCUGAUGCAAU